rnacentral:rRNA from 1 species
UAGGGAAUCUUCGGCAAUGGACGAAAGUCUGACCGAGCAACGCCGCGUGAGUGAAGAAGGUUUUCGGAUCGUAAAACUCUGUUGUUAGAGAAGAACAAGGACGUUAGUAACUGAACGUCCCCUGACGGUAUCUAACCAGAAAGCCACGGCUAACUACGUGCCAGCAGCCGCGGUAAUCCGUAGGUGGCAAGCGUUGUCCGGAUUUAUUGGGCGUAAAGCGAGCGCAGGCGGUUUCUUAAGUCUGAUGUGAAAGCCCCCGGCUCAACCGGGGAGGGUCAUUGGAAGCUGGGAGACUUGAGUGCAGAAGAGGAGAGAGGAAUUCCAUGUGUGGCGGUGAAAUGCGUAGAUAUAUGGAGGAACACCAGUGGCGAAGGCGGCUCGCUGGUCUGUAACUGACGAUGAGGCUCGAAAGCGUGGGGAGCAAACAGG